CCCCACCCGUGAGCUGGGCCAGUGAAACGGGGAGGGUGGCCACGGGCUAGGAAAAUCUGGCUUUGGGGACUGGGGAGGCGCAAUGAGGCUUGGAGGGAGAAUGAAGAAGCCGGGGAGAAGAGAAAGAAAGGCUUCCGGUUUCCUUUUCGAGAUUUCGCCCAAAUUUGAAACAAACCAGUAGUGAGCGCGGGCACCAAUAACCGCGGCACUCAAGUGGGGAGUUUCUCUUCUGACGUCUCUUCUGGCGCCCGUUACAAAUAGCCGGGUGGCUGCGCUCGCCUGGAGGAAGAACUCACCAGCAGCUGUGGGGAGGAGGGAAGAGGGGAGAAACAGGACCCGGACCAGAGGGAUGGGGGCGCCCGGGAGCACCAGGUCCCUCGAGGCGUCUCGAGAUGGGUGGAAUCAGUCCUCGCCCCAGAUCAAUUUGGAUGAAAGACAGAGGCUGACUGUAGCUGCUAAAGUAUCUUGGAAGAUUGAAUGAGAUACUACAUCAGUGUGACAGUACUCUUGCAAGGUGUCCUUGGAGUAGAUGCUUAACAGACAGUGGAAUGUGAACUGGGACCUGGAAAGAAAGGGAACUGUCAAAAGACCAAAGAACAACAGUCUGGAAAUAAACUUGAAAAGGAAAAAGAGAGAAAAAAGCCUAGAUGCCUGUGCAGCCAAGAGUGUGUGACUAGCACUUGAAUGGCAGAUAAAGAGACCUGACACCCAGUACGACUCUUCUGCCAUGAUUGUGUUUUCACUGGAGGAAGCUGUUCGUGAACAAAAGGGAAAGAAGCCACUGAUAGAAAAGAGACAGGCAUGUUUUUUUCAUACACAAUAUGCAGGGUAUUUGACACUCAAGAUUUUUAAAGUCACAAUAUACUUUUCCAACUAAAAGUAAACUUCCUCUUGGCAUGUAACCCUGCACUGGAUGAAAUUUAGAUGAAGAUUCUAUCAAAUACAUGGUUCAGAAGUUUGUCAGCUUUGCUUUAAAGAGAAUUUCCUUUUUUUAGAUUGUUACUAUGUCUUGGCAUAUGCCUGCCCUCGUGAUGGUAAGUGUUGCAUUAUUUGUUCAUAGUAUUGCUACUAGUAAUGAAAUGAUAUAAUUAAUAAGGAUAGCUUAAAGUGUCUAAUCUAACACAAUCAAAAUCCACCAAUAGGAAGGUAUAAUUCAUACUUUUAUAUAGCAGUUCAAUGAAUUGACAUUUGAG
rnacentral:lncRNA from 1 species